rnacentral:rRNA from 1 species
GAUGAACGCUAGCGACAGGCCUAACACAUGCAAGUCAGGGGCAUCGGGACGUAGCAAUACGUUGCCGGCGACCGGCGGAUGGGUGAGUAACGCGUAUGCAACCUACCCGUAGCAGGGGGAUAGCCCGUUGAAAGACGGAUUAAUACCCCGUAACACAGGGGCUCCGCAUGGAGAUUAUUGUUAAAGGGUCAUUUCUUUUAGAGGUGGUCCGGCUGCGGAUGGGCAUGCGUUCCAUUAGGUAGUUGGUGUAGGUAACGGCUCACCAAGCCGACGAUGGAUAGGGGAACUGAGAGGUUGGUCCCCCACACUGGUACUGAGACACGGACCAGACUCCUACGGGAGGCAGCAGUGAGGAAUCUUGGUCAAUGGACGCAAGUCUGAACCAGCCAUGUCGCGUGAAGGAGGACGGCCCUAAGGGUUGUAAACUUCUUUUGCAGCGGAAUAAAGUUUGCCACGAGUUGGCGAUUUGCAAGUACGCUGCGAAUAAGGAUCGGCUAACUCCGUG